rnacentral:rRNA from 1 species
UACGAAGGGGGCUAGCGUUGCUCGGAAUUACUGGGCGUAAAGCGCACGUAGGCGGAUUGUUAAGUCGGGGGUGAAAUCCUGGAGCUCAACUCCAGAACUGCCUUCGAUACUGGCGAUCUCGAGUCCGGGAGAGGUGAGUGGAACUGCGAGUGUAGAGGUGAAAUUCGUAGAUAUUCGCAAGAACACCAGUGGCGAAAGGCGGCUCACUGGCCCGGUACUGACGCUGAGGUGCGAAAGCGUGGGGAGCAAACAGG